rnacentral:rRNA from 1 species
UGAAGAGGGAAACAACCCAGACCGCCAGCUAAGGUCCCAAAGUCAUGGUUAAGUGGGAAACGAUGUGGGAAGGCCCAGACAGCCAGGAUGUUGGCUUAGAAGCAGCCAUCAUUUAAAGAAAGCGUAAUAGCUCACUGGUCGAGUCGGCCUGCGCGGAAGAUGUAACGGGGCUAAACCAUGCACCGAAGCUGCGGCAGCGACACUCAGGUGUUGUUGGGUAGGGGAGCGUUCUGUAAGCCUGCGAAGGUGGCCUGUGAGGGUUGCUGGAGGUAUCAGAAGUGCGAAUGCUGACAUAAGUAACGAUAAAGCGGGUGAAAAGCCCGCUCGCCGGAAGACCAAGGGUUCCUGUCCAACGUUAAUCGGGGCAGGGUGAGUCGACCCCUAAGGCGAGGCCGAAAGGCGUAGUCGAUGGGAAACGGGUUAAUAUUCCCGUACUUGGUGUUACUGCGAAGGGGGGACGGAGAAGGCUAUGUUGGCCGGGCGACGGUUGUCCCGGUUUAAGCGUGUAGGUGUGUGUUCCAGGUAAAUCCGGUUCACUUUAACACUGAGGCGUGAUGACGAGGCACUACGGUGCUGAAGCAACAAAUGCCCUGCUUCCAGGAAAAGCCUCUAAGCAUCAGGUAACAUCAAAUCGUACCCCAAACCGACACAGGUGGUCAGGUAGAGAAUACCAAGGCGCUUGAGAGAACUCGGGUGAAGGAACUAGGCAAAAUGGUGCCGUAACUUCGGGAGAAGGCACGCUGACACGUAGGUGAAGUGAUUUACUCAUGGAGCUGAAGUCAGUCGAAGAUACCAGCUGGCUGCAACUGUUUAUUAAAAACACAGCACUGUGCAAACACGAAAGUGGACGUAUACGGUGUGACGCCUGCCCGGUGCCGGAAGGUUAAUUGAUGGGGUCAGCGCAAGCGAAGCUCCUGAUCGAAGCCCCGGUAAACGGCGGCCGUAACUAUAACGGUCCUAAGGUAGCGAAAUUCCUUGUCGGGUAAGUUCCGACCUGCACGAAUGGCGUAAUGAUGGCCAGGCUGUCUCCACCCGAGACUCAGUGAAAUUGAACUCGCUGUGAAGAUGCAGUGUACCCGCGGCAAGACGGAAAGACCCCGUGAACCUUUACUAUAGCUUGACACUGAACAUUGAGCCUUGAUGUGUAGGAUAGGUGGGAGGCUUUGAAGUGUGGACGCCAGUCUGCAUGGAGCCGGCCUUGAAAUACCACCCUUUAAUGUUUGAUGUUCUAACGUGGACCCGUGAUCCGGGUUGCGGACAGUGUCUGGUGGGUAGUUUGACUGGGGCGGUCUCCUCCUAAAGAGUAACGGAGGAGCACGAAGGUUGGCUAAUCCUGGUCGGACAUCAGGAGGUUAGUGCAAUGGCAUAAGCCAGCUUGACUGCGAGCGUGACGGCGCGAGCAGGUGCGAAAGCAGGUCAUAGUGAUCCGGUGGUUCUGAAUGGAAGGGCCAUCGCUCAACGGAUAAAAGGUACUCCGGGGAUAACAGGCUGAUACCGCCCAAGAGUUCAUAUCGACGGCGGUGUUUGGCACCUCGAUGUCGGCUCAUCACAUCCUGGGGCUGAAGUAGGUCCCAAGGGUAUGGCUGUUCGCCAUUUAAAGUGGUACGCGAGCUGGGUUUAGAACGUCGUGAGACAGUUCGGUCCCUAUCUGCCGUGGGCGCUGGAGAACUGAGGGGGGCUGCUCCUAGUACGAGAGGACCGGAGUGGACGCAUCACUGGUGUUCGGGUUGUCAUGCCAAUGGCACUGCCCGGUAGCUAAAUGCGGAAGAGAUAAGUGCUGAAAGCAUCUAAGCACGAAACUUGCCCCGAGAUGAGUUCUCCCUGAGACUUUAGGUCUCCUGAAGGAACGUUGAAGACGACGACGUUGAUAGGCCGGGUGUGUAAGCGCAGCGAUGCGUUGAGCUAACCGGUACUAAUGAACCGUGAGGCUUAACCUUACA